UACGGGGGGGGCAAGCGUUGUUCGGAAUUACUGGGCGUAAAGCGCACGUAGGCGGCUUUGUAAGUCAGAGGUGAAAGCCUGGAGCUCAACUCCAGAACUGCCUUUGAGACUGCAUCGCUUGAAUCCAGGAGAGGUGAGUGGAAUUCCGAGUGUAGAGGUGAAAUUCGUAGAUAUUCGGAAGAACACCAGUGGCGAAGGCGGCUCACUGGACUGGUAUUGACGCUGAGGUGCAAAAGCGUGGGGAGCAAACAGG
rnacentral:rRNA from 1 species